AUAUCAAUAAGCGGAGGAAAGGAAACCAACAGGGAUUGCCCUAGUAACGGCGAGUGAAGCGGCAACAGCUCAAAUUUGAAAUCUGGCCCCUUCGGGGUCCGAGUUGUAAUUUGUAGAGGAUGCUUCGGCGUCGGCCCCGGGGUAAGUCCCCUGGAACGAGGCGCCCUAGAGGGUGAGAGCCCCGUACUCACUCGGGUGUCCUUCGCCAUGUGAAGCUCCUUCGACGAGUCGAGUUGUUUGGGAAUGCAGCUCUAAGCGGGAGGUAUAUUUCUUCUAAAGCUAAAUACCGGCCAGAGACCGAUAGCGCACAAGUAGAGUGAUCGAAAGAUGAAAAGCACUUUGGAAAGAGAGUUAAAAAGCACGUGAAAUUGUUGAAAGGGAAGCUCUUGCCGCCAGACUUGCCGCGGCUGCUCAGCCGCCCCCCGGGGCGGUGUACUCUUCCGUCGGCAGGCCAGCGUCGGUUCGGGCGGCCGGACAAAGGCCCUGGGAAUGUAGCAUCCUCCGGGGUGUGUUAUAGCCCGGGGUGCAAUGCGGUCAGCCCGGUCCGAGGCACGCGUUCGCGAGGACGCUGGCGUAAUGGCUGCAAGCGACCCGUCUUGAAACACGGACCAAGGAGUCUAACAUCUGUGCGAGUGUUUGGGUCUCAAACCCAUGCGCGUAAUGAAAGUGAACGGAGGUGGGAACCCCCCCCCGAGGGGCGCACCAUCGACCGAUCCUGAUGUCUUCGGAUGGAUUUGAGUAAGAGCAUAGCUGUUGGGACCCGAAAGAUGGUGAACUAUUCCCGGAUAGGGUGAAGCCAGAGGAAACUCUGGUGGAGGCUCGCAGCGGUUCUGACGUGCAAAUCGAUCGUCAAAUCUAGGAAUAGGGGCGAAAGACUAAUCGAACCAU
rnacentral:rRNA from 1 species